GCCAGACAGCAGUGUUACCAUGGAGACUCCUGCCCAAGCACCCAACACCUGUGAUCAUCACCUGCCUCUUAAUUCAGCUUAAUCCAGAUCACCCCUGGGACCUGGGGAUACAAAGGAAGGCUCAGCUCUCCAUGACAGGCCCAGCGAGCUUGCUCAGGGACUUGUGCCCAGAGACUCCGAGAGUUCCCCAGGAGCUUUCCCAGGAAGACGCUGUGUCCUCCCAGGGCCCCCUUCCUACCAUGGCUGCCUUGCUGCCCUGCAAGUGGAACCUGUCCUUGGGGUAAAACCAAGAGACUGCGAGAGACAGAGACACAGAAAGAGAGAGAGAGAGAACGAACCUGGGAAAAGUCCCCCUGCGUGGAUCACUUGUCUGAGUGUGAUGUCAUCACCACAAUCUGUUUUUGUUUACUUUUUAGAGUUCUCUGGCAGUUGGAUUUUUAAUUUGGCUCAAAGUUUCUGUUAUAAUCAGUGGGAGGAGUGGACUAAGUGAGCUUAUGCUACCAUGCUAGCUAGCACUGGAACCUCCUUCCCCCCAAUUUUUAGUAAAGCUUUUUGUCUUCUUA